rnacentral:rRNA from 1 species
GAUGAACGCUGGCGGCGUGCUUAACACAUGCAAGUCGAACGAAGCGCUUAAACGGAUUUCUUCGGAAUGAAGUUUUUGCGACUGAGUGGCGGACGGGUGAGUAACGCGUGGGUAACCUGCCUCAUACAGGGGGAUAACAGUUAGAAAUGACUGCUAAUACCGCAUAAGCGCACAGUGCUGCAUGGCACAGUGUGAAAAACUCCGGUGGUAUGAGAUGGACCCGCGUCUGAUUAGCUAGUUGGUGGGGUAACGGCCUACCAAGGCGACGAUCAGUAGCCGGACUCGAGAGGUUGGAACGGACCGACCAUUGGGUACGUGAGGACACGGCCCGACGA